CCUUUAAAAUAAUCUGGUCACUUAAAUGGUUCCCCAAAUAUCUUGACCGUGUUGUACUACUUUAUCAGAAUGUUUUCCAAAAUUCCCGUUUUGUACCGACAACUUGAUUGCUAACCAACUAUAGAUCACUUGUUGACAAUGAAAGACAUUCGAAAUAUUGAAUGUAGAAAUAUUAUGUAUUCUAUAGAUGAAGAAGUGAAGUUCGAAAGGGAGAAAAGCCGGAUGAAUUUGACUUGGAUGAGUAGAAGGCUACUAUAUACUGAAGGUUGUCUUUAUUCCCUAUUGGAGAGACAAGCCAUUUAUUUCUUUUGGUUUUGGUUAAUGAGGAUUUUUUAUUAAGUGAGUCUGUCUCGAUGAUACCAGUUGUACUGGCUAAUAUAUUCAAUAAAAACAUUUUAUUUCUCUGAA